rnacentral:rRNA from 1 species
AGAGUUUGAUCCUGGCUCAGGAUGAACGCUGGCGGUAUGCCUAACACAUGCAAGUUGAACGGAAGCUUUCCAAGCUUUAGUAGCGGACGGGUGAGUAACGCGUGAGAAUUUACCUCUAGGAGGGGAACAACAGUUAGAAAUGACUGCUAAUGCCCCAUAUGCUUUAAUAGUGAAAUGGAUUUAUUCGCCUGGAGAGAAGCUCGCGUCUGAUUAGCUAGUUGGUGAGGUAACGGCUCACCAAGGCGACGAUCAGUAGCUGGUUUGAGAGGAUGAUCAGCCACACUGGAACUGAGACACGGUCCAGACUCCUACGGGAGGCAGCAGUGGGGAAUUUUCUGCAAUGGGCGAAAGCCUGACAGAGCAAUACCGCGUGAGGGAUGAAGGCUCGUGGGUCGUAAACCUCUUUUAUCAGGGAGGAAGUUCUGACGUGUACCUGAUGAAUAAGCAUCGGCUAACUCCGUGCCAGCCGCCGCGGU